GGACAGGUGUCAGAGUGGUCGAUUGUGCAUCCUUGGAAAGGAUGUGUUCUAGCAAUAGAACCGGGAGUUCGAAUCUCCCCCUGUCCGCCA
rnacentral:tRNA from 4 species